rnacentral:rRNA from 1 species
GACGAACCGUACGAACGUUAUUCGGAAUCACUGGGCUUAAAGGGUGCGUAGGCUGUGCGGAAAGUUGGGUGUGAAAUCCCUCGGCUUAACCGAGGAACUGCGCCGAAAACUACCGUGCUCGAGGGAGACAGAGGUGAGCGGAACUUAGGGUGGAGCGGUGAAAUGCGUUGAUAUCCUAAGGAACACCGGUGGCGAAAGCGGCUCACUGGGUGUAUUCUGACGCUGAGGCACGAAAGCUAGGGGAUCGAACGGG